GGGAGGUCAGAAGCAGAAGGUACAUCCCUGCCACUCCUCUGGACAAAUACCUUCUUUGAUGACCGCACACAUCUCCAGUUCUCGAAAACAGCCCCCUGCUUGUGUUCAGUGUUCCUGGCCUUUGUCAACAAGAUGAGGAACUGGAGGCCCAGAGAGGUGGAGCUGCAUGGACCACUCCGCUGGAAGAAGGACUAUUUUCUCUGUCAAAUCCUCUGAAAUAUGGUGGAAAUAAAUCCUUCAGGAAGACCAGUGAAGGAGAGCAGAGGGAACUGGAGAAAAGCCGUCCAGAAGAUGAUCAUCUCCUAGACCAGGAUGCUCUUGGAAAAGCCAGCUGGAAGUUGCAGGGGCCCAGAAUACUACAGCUUCUAAGAACUUGCAAGUAAUAAAGAUACAGCUCUCCACCAAGAUAAGCUUUCAAUCUAUUCAUGAUGGAUCAGAGACAAGAUAUGUGGAGUUCUCUGAAGGCCACUGUAUCACUCCAAGGCUAGGUAUGUUGGCUCUUGGUGGAUCAAGGUAUUGGCCUAUGUAAAGAGAGACUAGUCAGCAAAGUGGGGUUUGGUCAGCUUUGUUCACUUGGAGAAGAGAGGUCAAUGCUGACAGGACUCCAUUCAUGCACUGCUCCAGGUCGGGGGAGACCUCCAAUGGAGGGAGUAUCUCAAGUGGCAAAGCCAUUUAUGACAUGUUGUGGACAAUCUUAGCCUAAUACCCUUGAACAUUCAAUUCACCUCAGUAACACCUUGUUUUGACUCCAUCAUCUUGAAGCAAACUUCCAGGUAUGACUUGGCUGUUUCCCAUGUAGUUCUGCCAACAGAGGGGGGAUAUUUCUGUGCCCCACACUUCCAGAUGGAUUUCAGGGUGACUAAGAAUCCCCUGAAAUUGUGUGCACCGUGUUGUGUGUGUUUGAGAGUGCCCCUUGUCCUGACGACGGGAACCUUCGUGGUCAUAAUAGUCUCAAAGGGCUCCACGAAACACAAAGGGACCUGACAUUCAUCUGUGUGAGCGUCUCAAUGAGGGUUUCCUUCUACCUCUCAGGCAGAGGGCAGGAACUCUUUUGGUUCCACCUGCCACUGUUCCUCC
rnacentral:lncRNA from 1 species